CUCUCUGUGCUUUUGCUCUAAUGCAUUUCACACUCAUGCCCUGAUAUUCAAUACAAUCUUUAUUCACUAUCCCGAGAGGUUGCCCUUACGAGGGUCAGGCUACCGUGUGCUGCCACUAUUUCUGCUGGGGGGUAUAAAUGGAGGGGGGCUGAUUCCGAAAGACAACUGGACCACGGAAGAAAGCUCUAUUUAUCUGCUGUAUAUAUGAACAUCUCCUGUCUCCAAGGGUCUCAUACUGCAAUGUAUAGCAAUGGUAUUAGAAGAUCUUACAAAUCACCAUGAAAAGCUGUAGACGGCGAAAUAGUAACGGUACCGUGUGCUUUUAUACAAGAUUAUAAAAUGAGGUCCUAAGUGGAGUGUGCAGUCUUCCCUACUUGCUCUUCCAGACUUGAUUUAUCUUCA